UUUCCGUAGGUGAACCUGCGGAAGGAUCAUUAUUGAAUGAAACACCUCUGGCUUCCAGCUGUUGCGAUGGCCCUUUGGGCAAUGGCGACAAGGCUCCGGGCACUUGUUUUCUCUGUUACAUCCGUGCGAAGCCUGUACACACGCUGUGCCCGUGAUCUUUGUAUACACCCAACAAGGAUAGUUGGCAUGAUAUAUAUAAUCAUAAAUAAUACUAACUUCAACAACGGAUCUGUUUGUUAUCGCAUCGAAGAAGAAAGCAGAAGAUCGGAAAAACAGCCC
rnacentral:misc_RNA from 1 species